GACGAACGCUGGCGGCGUGCUUAACACAUGCAAGUCGAACGGAAAGGCCCCUUCGGGGGUACUCGAGUGGCGAACGGGUGCGUAACACGUGAGUAACCUUCCCUUGACUUCGGGAUAACUUCAGGAAACUGGGGCUAAUACCGGAUAGGAAUCCUUGCUGCAUGGUGGGGGUUGGAAAGCUUCGGCGGUUUUGGAUGGACUCGCGGCUUAUCAGCUUGUUGGUGGGGUAGUGGCUUACCAAGGCUUUGACGGGUAGCCGGCCUGAGAGGGCGACCGGCCACAUUGGGACUGAGAGACGGCCCAGACUCCUAAGGGAGGGAGAAGUGGGGAAGAUUGCACAAGGGGCGGAAGCCUGAUGCAGCAACGCCGCGUGCGGGAUGACGGCCUUCGGGUUGUAAACCGCUUUCAGCAGGGGCGAAGCUUGUGGUGACGGUACCUGCAGAAGAAGCACCGGCUAACUACGUG
rnacentral:rRNA from 1 species